GGCAAGAUGGCCGAGUGGUUAAGGCGGCAGAUUUAAGAUUUUUCAAUCGAAACCCUGCUUCCGCAAGGAACGUGGGUUCGAACCCCACUCUUGUCA
rfam:Aspergillus calidoustus genome assembly, contig: SCAF1